GGGGAACUGAAACAUCUAAGUACCCCGAGGAAAAGAAAUCAACCGAGAUUCCCCCAGUAGCGGCGAGCGAACGGGGAGGAGCCCAGAGCCUGAAUCAGCAUGUGUGUUAGUGGAAGCGUCUGGAAAGGCGCGCGAUACAGGGUGACAGCCCCGUACACAAAAGCGCAUGUGCUGUGAGCUCGAUGAGUAGGGCGGGACACGUGGUAUCCUGUCUGAAUAUGGGGGGACCAUCCUCCAAGGCUAAAUACUCCUGACUGACCGAUAGUGAACCAGUACCGUGAGGGAAAGGCGAAAAGAACCCCGGCGAGGGGAGUGAAAAAGAACCUGAAACCGUGUACGUACAAGCAGUGGGAGCACAGGUUUACCUGUGUGACUGCGUACCUUUUGUAUAAUGGGUCAGCGACUUAU
rnacentral:rRNA from 1 species